GGAAUGUGGCGGGAAGGCUCCCCUGGUCCGUUCUGGUCCAGUCUCCUCCUCUCUGCCCCCUCCCAUCACCACCAGGGGCCGCCUCCCCAAUCCCCUCUCCUCCCCUCUGCGGCAGCCGGGCCAACGCUCCCUCCCCGCUCCUCCCUCUCCAUCCCACGUUUUCCAGCCGGACCCCUGGAGUGGGGCUGGCUGAGCUGAGGAUCCUGCGGUUCGGUGUUGGUGGCGGUGACCUGUUGCCACCCGGCAGCCGCACACCCUCGAGCCAUGUCCUGGGCCGCUCUGCUCGGCCUUCUGGCCGUGUUAUUACUGUUGCUGCUGCUGCUGAGCCGCCGGCGCGCGCGGUGA
rnacentral:lncRNA from 1 species